AUUUUAACAUCUAUCUAAAUAUUAACUAUAAAUCACUAUUAAAACGUGUAUAAAAAUCGGCCUUAAGGCAAAUGCUAAUGCACUCUGGUGAACCACCCAUUUACCAUAAUUUAACGUUGAAGGAUUCGAGAACGGCAUCACCUUAUCUAUAUUGUGAUAACUAUCACAUAAUUAUAUUUUAAUUAUACUAAAAUGCUCGUUUGGUUUCGUUUUCUAAAAUCUCAGAAUUUUUAUUUCUACUAUAAAAUCUUCAUCGUCCUAUAUAUUACAUUUGAAUAAUGGGUAUUUUAAAUUCAUCGUGGAAUAUUACAAAAUGGUUCACUGACAAGACUGGAAUUUCAAGACAUAAGGAAUAAUUUAAAAAAAACCACCCAAUUGCCAUGUUUGUCAAAAUACAAUGUUACUUUAAUGGAAAAAUAUGCAAGACUACAAUUGUACUUUGAUUACAAAGUAACUUUAUAUGAAAUACUGAAAAAAAUAUGUGGAGCUUUUGGGAGUUGGUAGAGUGCUAUGGAGCAGAGGCAGCCGUAUUCAUCAAUGACAAACUUAGGGGCCUGGAGUUUAAACAAUAAUCUGUUCAUUGCCAAGUUAAUGAAAUGAUUUCCUUCACAGUGCGAGAACCAUGUAUGUCAAAACUAAGUAUGUAUUGAACCAAAAAAUAGGCCAUUGUUGGUAUGUCUAAAAUAAUGUCACCCUUUCACUUUUUUUCUAGGUGGACCUAGAGCGAAGUAUUGUAUUGUGUGUCACAACUCGAGUUUUCGAUUAUACUCUAUAAUAUAAUGUUUUCCAACUUGUGUGUAACAAAAUAUGAGAAAAAUGUGCACAUUUUAUAUUUUAUUCUUGCAAUUUCCUCAUUACUAUAUUAUCCACCACACAGUACCUAAAUUCCUCCUCAAGUAUUCAUCCCCUCCCUGUUGGGUAAUACUGUUAUAAUAUAUUAUUUAUAUAAAUUUCUAUUUAUUUUAUAUAUAGCAAUAUGCAACUCUAUACUCAACCUUAUUAAAUUGGAAAUAUGGCCAUAUUAAGAAUCAUAUGGACCAGGACCGACAGCACAACAGACUUAGAGCAUGAUUAUACAUAGUGUGACACGAUAAUUUGUUUUUUUUACAUAUCACUACAAUGUAGUCUUGUUACAACCUGUACAUAACAUGGCCAUGAUCAACAUCAAUCAAUGCAAGUCCACCACAGUCAAAUGCAUCUUUGCUACACUUUACAUAAGAAUAUUUGAACUUGUGAUUUUACUGCAUUAGAAUAAUUUCAAAUAAUUUAAUUGAUUAGACUUGGAAUAUUUUUCAAAUAUGUAGUUUUAUAGAUGUGUGUUUUUAUCGUGAUAAUUUGUUUUGUGUUGGGAACUUAAUUAAUUCAUAUAUCUUUACUUCUAAGAAGUUUCUGAUUAUUGGGCAUGUUACACUAGGACUAUGGAAGUAGACAGCACUAGAUUUACAUUGAACACCUUAAUGGUGUAGGGCAGUUGUAAUAUUUGUUUACAUUUUUCAAUAGCAUUCAUAUUUUGUAAAUUAAUUUCGUUUUUUUUUUCUGUUAUCGUUAAAAUAUUGUUACAUAUACUUUUAUGUAUGCAUGCAUGUAUGUAUGUAUGUAUGUACACAGUGUGUUCAUACUAAGAGGUACCACUAAAUAUUUCAUUUGGUUGACCUAGUUUGAAAUGGAAUAUUCGGGAAAUGAUAGGAAGUACUCAAAUACACAUUUUCAGAUUAAUUUCAAAUUUUAACACUUUCGCUACGCACAUGCGUACUACAAAUAUUUUUUUUUAAAUAGCAAAACCAUUUUUUUUUUCAACUAAUUCGGACAGAGUAUUUUUUUAAAACAAUUUUCAUAUAAAAGGUUUUUUUCUAAUUACAAAGUUAGUAUAGUUGUAGUACGUUGAAAUUUAAUAUUUACGAAUAAUCUGUUAUUGAUGAAAUUUUAUCUAUGUUCAAUUUAUACUCGAAAAUCGAAGUAUCUGUGAUAUUUUAAAAUACCUAUUAGUAGAUAGAUAUAAGACACUAAUAAACACUAUUUUGUUUUUGUAAUUUACUCUUAUAUUUUUCAUUUAUUCUUCCAAAUAAAUUGAAGGUAUUGAAAAUUAUAAAAAUAUACACACUACGAAUUUGAUAUUAAGAUUUAUUUAUUUGUAACUAUAGUUUUAUCGAAUAAAUUGUUCAAAUUUUCUGCCUUGGUGUUCCAAACAGUUUAAAAAUUCUCUUGAUGUGGCAACGUUUUAUUUGGUCUUAUCUCAAAUUAUUACAUGCUACUCGUAAUUUGUCUUUUAAACCUUGGACUUUAUUAGGUGGAUACUCAUAUGCAAUAUUUUUUAAAUGCUCCCAUUAAAACAAAUUAAGUGUUUGUCUGUGUCUUAUAUCUAUCUAUAAACAGGUAUUUCAAAAUAUCGAAGAUAUCAUUUUGAUUUUCGAGUAUAAGUUGAACAUAGUUAAAAUUUCGUCAAUAACAGAUUAUUUGUAAAUAUUAAAUUUCAACAUGCUAUAACUUGCCAAUUUUGUAAUUAGAAAAAAACUUUUAUUAUGAAAAUUGUUUUAAAAAAAAAUACCCAAUCCGAAUUUGUCAAAAAAAAAAUAGUGUUGCCAUUUAAAAAAAAAAAUAGCUGUAGUACACAUGUGCAUAGUGAAUUAGUUAAAAAUCUGAAAUUUGUCUGAAAAUGUGUAUUUGGGUACUCCGUAUCAUUUCCCGAAAAUUCCAUUUCAAUACUAGAUCAAUAAGUCAUUCAACUGAAAUAUUUAGUGGUACCUCUUAACCUGAACGCACUGUAUCUGUAUGUAUGUAUAUUUUGCUAUAUAGGGAUUCUAUGGCUUUGUAAACCACGAUUUACAUAAUAAAUCAGUUUUUGUUAAUUGUUUAAACUUUUACUUUAUACUUUUAUUAUAAAAAUGUAGAAUUAUUUAUUCAAUUAAAUUAGCAAUAUUAAAAAUAAUAAAUGCAAAAAUUAUUUGAAAUUAUAUAGGUACAUAAAAAAUACCAAAACAAAUUAUCAAAGACCUUAUUAAUGAAACACCUUGUAUUGAUAUCAUUUAUAUUACUUUAUGAGCAUAUGAGGCUGUGCAUAUAAAACUUGGAAAUCUAUAUCCUGAUGAUGUAUGAUAUAGAUGUUCCUAGAAUGUAUAUCACAUACAUAAUUAAUUUAUGUAAAAAAAAAAAUGAAAUUUAGUAAUAUUACUAAUUUAUUUAAAACGAUUAUUUUAUUGACAACAUGAAAUGAUUUAUCGUGUG